AUAAGAUUGCAUUCUAAGGAUGUUUUCUUUAUAUUUUUAAGACAAUAACAGCACAAUAGAGAUUUAUUAUAAAAGUAAACCACUACCCUAAAAAACUCACCCUUCGUCCCAAGAAGCCUAAUGCGUGCUUAAGGUGCUUUUUUGUCCCCUCCAUGAAAUGCUGAUGUCAUUGGACCCAUGGUAUUUCUAGAAGAAUGGUGUGAUGGAAAGGAGGUUUUCAGUGAUGUCGAGUACGUUGUGCAUUCAGUACUUCAUGGAAGGACUAUCACAUGUCGAAGAAUACUUGGUAUACACAAGUGGAUUUUCCUGAAAGCCAUACUGGCUCGAGCAGUUUCUAGUAAUGCGAAUGUGACGUGUCCUGAAGAAAUUCCUUGCAACAGGAGAUAAAACAGAGAGAUGUUUGAAUGCUGCGUCUGAAUAGAAGAAAAAUGUGGUUUAUAGGAAACAAGUAGGAACAAGUACUUUUGGCUUUUUCAGUGAUGAAUUGGAACACUGUCAGAACUGCCUGACAAAUGUGGAUGAUGUAACCAGAAAGAAGUGUAAUACCUGAAGAGAUGUUGUGGCAUGGAGUGGGUUGCCAUGCUUUUAAAAACCUGCUGAAACAGCUGCAAUUUUGUUCAGUAGAUGCUGUCUUCAGAAGCUGCAUGUAGACCAAAAUUACUGUCUCUGCAUAUUUAAAACUGUCUUUCCAAAACACUUAACUGUCUUCUCUAGGAAGUGUAGCAGUAUUAAGGAAAAGAGUGUUGAGCUUCAGUACAUAGAAAUCCCUUUGGUUAUUUACCCUUUUAAAAUACCAUAUGGGUACACAGUCUUGCAGAUACUGGAGAUUUGUGAUAACUCAAGAGUGAAGCUCACCCUGUAAAGACAGGGUGAAAGCAAAGAAAAAGACAAUGUCCUAAUUAGUAUGUACAAUGUAGAUACAACUUGCAUCACUGUAUCUAGUGGGGGAAUGAGGAGUUUGGGUUGAGGACUGCCACUUCAGCAGAAGAUGACUGAUACCACAACACUGGAACUGCCCUUUGAGGAGUACAAUGGCAGCAGUACUUGCUUGCUGUCUGGGGAAAAGAGAUUGGUAGUGGGAAUAGAGUUAAAUACAUUGGAACUUGGGCUUUGAACAGUCACUUGAUACGUAUUGGUGCUGUAAUCACAGUAGCAGCAUAUUUGCUCUAUUCAGCAAACUGUUUUCCAUAGAGAAUGAAGGAUCAUAAAUUGGUCACCAAGUAAAUGUAAAGACAACACAUGGUAUAUAUAAGAUGAAAUUGCCCUUAAAGCAUGAAUUUCAAGCCUUAUUGUCAGGAAUUCUUUAUACAGGCCGAAACAUGAGAAUAGCAUAAUUAAAAAGUCAUAGACCUGCUAUUACCGAAUCAUUUUGAAAUGGUCCAAAAUAUAGAAAACGACCCUAUAGCUUAUGGGGUGUACCUGUUCAUCAGUGACAAAUCCCAUGUAGAAUCAAAUUUUCUGUCAAAGUAGCGAGAAGUAUAAGCAUUACCAGGGGACAGGACAUAAAGCAUUGGAAAUGUCAAAAAUAACUAUCCAUCAGGCUACUGAAGUUGGGUUCUAAGGAUCCGACUGCAUUGGCGCAUUGAGCAUCUCCUGUGGUUUGCUUAUUAAGCAGUAGCCUGCUACUUGGCUAAAGGCUGCUCCUUUUGAGUAAGGAAUGGUAAAUCAGUCUGUUGAAUAUCAAGAUCUGCAGAAAUAAACUCGAAAAUAGUUUUAUCUUCAUUGCUUUCAAUAUUACUUCUUUACUGUUAACAAAUGUUACUGAGAGUGGUGCAUAUUUUCAUGUACCAUGUUUUGUACGUGCUUGUGAAUAAAGAUGAGGAUGUUAAAGUCAUGGCUGGUGCACACCAGCUGUGGAUCACA